GUGACUGUGGAGUGACAAAGUGGCUUUAACUCUCUGGUUUCUAGGCAACGUUUUGCUCUCUGGAAAAAUGGCUCCUGCGUACGCGGUUCAAGACACCAUGCUGUUUCUUCUGUGGACUGGACCUAUGCAGCAGACAGACUUGUGUGAAUACUGUGGCAAAAGCCAUAGCUCUUCAAGACUUAAAGUAAUGGAGCAAGUGUGUUUCCGGUGUCCUGGAACGCACCCUGUCUGGUUGCCGGGCGAAUUAGCUUGUUGGGAGAUCGAUGUUCACCCGCACCUGUAUCCCAUCAGUAAUCUGCACACCUGUCCUGAUCAUCACCUCUCCCCUUCAAAAGCUCUGACCUGACAUCCAUUCCCUGCUGGAUCGUUAGCCAAGAACACCAUUCACCCGGAACCCAUACCCCAUCCCUGUCUGCUCGUCGCCAGUGUGUUGUUAUCCAUUGGAUCUGCCUAUCCACUCCCAUCGAUCCACCUCCGCUGUCCGCUCCUCCACCCGGAACUAUCUACCUCCACAUUCUCAUUGAUUAAUAAAUACUCACCAUCUUUUUACUCACCUUGUCCUGGUCUGCUUCUGGGUCCAAUUCUGGUAAACCCUGACAGCUAUGCUUAA